rnacentral:rRNA from 1 species
AACGAACGCUGGCGGCAUGCCUAACACAUGCAAGUCGAACGAGACCUUCGGGUCUAGUGGCGAACGGGUGCGUAACGCGUGGGAACCUGCCCUUAGGUUCGGAAUAACUCCCCGAAAGGGGUGCUAAUACCGGAUAAUGUCUUCGGACCAAAGAUGUAUCGCCUUUGGAUGGGUCCGCGUUGGAUUAGCUAGUUGGUAGGGUAAAAGCCUUCCAAGGCGACUUUCCAUAGCUGGUCUGAGAGGAUGAUCAGACACACUGGGAGUGAGACACGUCCCAGACUCCUACGGGAGGCAGCAGUGGUGAAUAUUGGACAAUGGGCGAGAGCCUGAUCCAGCAAUGCCGCGUGAGUGAUGAAGGACUUAGGGUUGUAAAGCUCUUUUACCCGGGAUGAUAAUGACAGUACCGGGAGAAUAAGCGCCGGCUAACUCCGUG